CGGCGGACGGGUGAGUAAUGUAUGGGAAACUGCCCGAUGGAGGGGGAUAACUACUGGAAACGGUAGCUAAUACCGCAUAACGUCGCAAGACCAAAGAGGGGACCGUUCGGGCCUCUUGCCAUCGGAUGUGCCCAGAUGGGAUUAGCUAGUAGGUGGGGUAACGGCUCACCUAGGCGACGAUCCCUAGCUGGUCUGAGAGGAUGAUCAGCCACACUGGGACUGAGACACGGCCCAG
rnacentral:rRNA from 1 species